CCUACGGGCGGCAGCAGUGGGGAAUAUUGGACAAUGGGCGAAAGCCUGAUCCAGCCAUGCCGCGUGUGUGAAGAAGGCCUUCGGGUUGUAAAGCACUUUCAGUGGGGAAGAAAGCCUUGGGGCUAAUACCCUCGAGGAAGGACAUCACCCACAGAAGAAGCACCGGCUAACUCCGUGCCAGCAGCCGCGGUAAUACGGAGGGUGCGAGCGUUAAUCGGAAUUACUGGGCGUAAAGCGCGCGUAGGCGGUCUGAUAAGCCGGUUGUGAAAGCCCCGGGCUCAACCUGGGAACGGCAUCCGGAGCUGUCCGGCGAGAGUACGGGAGAGGAAGGAAGAACCCCCGGUGUCGCGGUGAAAGGCGUAGAGGUAGGGAGGAAUACCAGUGGCGAGGGGGGCCUCCUGGACUGACACUGACGCUGGGGUGCGAACGCGUGGGUAGAAAACAGGAUUAGAUACCCGUGUAGUC
rnacentral:rRNA from 1 species